UACGAAGGGUGCAAGCGUUACUCGGAAUCACUGGGCGUAAAGCGUGCGUAGGCGGUUCGUUAAGUCUGCUGUGAAAGCCCUGGGCUCAACCUGGGAACUGCAGUGGAUACUGGCGGACUAGAGUGUGAUAGAGGAUGGUGGAAUUCCCGGUGUAGCGGUGAAAUGCGUAGAUAUGUGGAGGGAUACCGAUGGCGAAGGCAGCCCCCUGGGUCGACACUGACGCUCAUGCACGAAAGCGUGGGUAGCAAACAGG
rnacentral:rRNA from 1 species